rnacentral:rRNA from 1 species
GACGAACGCUGGCGGCGUGCUUAACACAUGCAAGUCGAGCGGUAAGGCCUUUCGGGGUACACGAGCGGCGAACGGGUGAGUAACACGUGGGUGACCUGCCUUUAGCUUCGGGAUAAGCCUGGGAAACUGGGUCUAAUACCGGAUAUGACCUCAUGUCGCAUGGUGUGGGGUGGAAAGUUUUCGCUAGAGAUGGGCCCGCGGCCUAUCAGCUUGUUGGUGGGGUGAUAGCCUACCAAGGCGACGACGGGUAGCCGGCCUGAGAGGGCGACCGGCCACACUGGGGCUGAGAUACGGCCCAGACUCCUACGGGAGGGCAGCAGUGGGGAAGUAUUGCGCAAUGGGGCGGAAGCCUGACGCAGCGACGCCG